UUCAACUAUUUAUAUAUUCUGUGUGUUUAUAUUAAUUUACAGAUAUUACAUUUGCUGUUUUAUUUGUUCCAUCAUCUUCAGGACUCACUUGUUUGAUUUGUCAAGACAUUGCACAUCCAAGGUUCUGUGAAGAUGUCGGAGCAUGUGCGUCAGGAGAGAAAUGUGGUAUGGAACGUAAAAUGAAUAACUUUGGAGGUGUUUCAUACAGUAUAGGGUGCAGGAGCGAGAAGGUAAAAUGGAUUACUUUGGAGGUGUUUCAUACAGUAUAGGGUGCAGGACCGAGAAGGUAAAAUGGAUAACUUUGGAGGUGUAUCAUACAGUAUAGGAUGCAGGAGCGAGCAGGUAAAAUGGAUUACUUUGGAGGUCUAUCAUACAGUAUAGGAUGCAGGACCGAGAAGGUAAAAUGGAUUACUUUGGAGGUCUAUCAUACAGUAUAGGGUGCAGGACUGAGAAGGUAAAAUGGAUAACUUUGGAGGUGUAUCAUACAGUAUAGGGGCAGGAGCGAGAAGGAUAAACGGCUAACUUUGGAGGUCUAUCAUACAGUAUAGGGUGCAGGACCGAGAAGGUAAAAUGGAUAACUUUGGGUGGUCUAUCAUACAGUAUAGAGUUCAGGACCGAGAAGGUAAAAUGGAUAACUUUGGAGGUCUAUCAUACAGUAUAGGGUGCAGGACCGAGAAGGUAAAAUGGAUAACUUUGGAUGUGUAUCAUACAGUAUAGGGUGCAGGACCGGGAAGGUUAAACGGCUAACUUUGGAGGUGUAUCAUACAGUAUAGGGUGCAGGACCGAGAACGUAAAAUGGAUAACUUUGGAGGUGUAUCAUACAGUAUAGGGUGCAGGACCGAUAAGGUAAAAUGGAUAACUUUGGAGGUGUAUCAUACAGUAUAGGAUGCAGGAC